rnacentral:lncRNA from 1 species
UUUUAAUACGAGUCGAGCCCGAGCCGAGCCUAAUUUCUGAAUCGAGCCUUGUUUUAUGUUCAAGCUCGGCUCACGAGCUAUUUAUCAAGCUCGAGCUCGAGCUCGUUAGGCUCGUUUAGCUCGAGCCCUCCAAGCUCGUUUAGCUCGAAUCAAGCUCGAACCCUUCUUCAAUCUGAGAAAGUCGUGCAGCUCCUAUCUAGUGACCAAAAAAUCAAAAUUCAGAAACUCUUGCCACUUCAUCUGGAUUACAUCAAUUCAAAAACAAAAUAAUAGGAAAAAUAAGUACCUGAUGAGCUUGGAUCAACUGGUAAAUGUCAGUCUCACUCUCGACUUCUC